GGUGCCCGGUGCCCCCCCUUCGGCCGCAGGAGCACGUGCAAGGCAAGGACCCCUCUGCCCCCAGGCAGCGCCCCAGCUCCAGCCGCGGGGCCAGGGGGUGCAGGCCCCCAAGCGCCCCCGGCCCCGAAGGAGCCCCCCCCAGGAAUCAAUGCUGGGGGGGGGGGAGAUCCCAGCUAGAGUGCUCUGGGGCAGGUGAUUGGUGGGAUGGUAGCGGGACGAGGGAAGGAAGGUGAUUGGUGGGAUAGUAGCGGGACGAGGGAAGGAAGGUGAUUGGUGGGAUGGUAGCGGGACGAGGGAAGGAAGGUGAUUGGUGGGAUGGUAGCGGGAUGAGGGAAGGAAGGUGACUGGUUGGAUGGGAGCCUGGGUGGGAAGGAAGGUGAUUGGUCAGGUUGGAGGGAGCGAACGGAUUGGUGGGACAGGAUUGCAAAGGUGAAAGGGGAUGGGAGGGGUGGGGCUGAGGGCAAGGGGGAGGAGCUAUUAUCCCGCCAUCUGGCUCCUCCCCCUGCAGCUGCUGGCAGGUGGGGGGGCUGCGUGUUGGGGGAGGGAUCGAGUCACCGGGGCGUCGGCCCCAGACUGAUUUGUUCAUAGCUCGGGGGGGUGGGGGGGCCGGACACGGUGCCCGGGGGGGGGGCGAAACCCACCGGAUCCCAACCCUCUGGGGGGGCAACUGCAGGGUUAAUGCUGCCAUGCACCCCCCCCCCCGGCCAAGGGGGGGAUCUCCCAACAGCCUUGGAGCCAGCUCCCCAGCGCUAUGGAGCCAAGCCGGGUACCCCCCC